rnacentral:lncRNA from 1 species
AGGAAGAGAACUAGAGAGCUGGAGGGAGGGAAGGAAUAAAAUCCUCGAUUCAAGACAGUAUAAGAUCCUAGAGUCUUUUUCGAAUGCCCUUAAUUUCACUGAGAUCACCAAUUAAGAUUUCGCUUAUGGUAAAGGUUGCUAAGCGAAAGCCUCUCUGCAAUGAGGGAAAGCCACAGAAGCUGGCCUUACAAGAUAGGGGGGCUGUCCAAAAAAGGAGAUUCUUUGAGUUCAUACCCAGUAGAAAGAAGGGCAGCUGCUAAGAUCCCCGAGAUUGGCUAGAUGGGAGUAGCUCAUGCCCGGCUCGGGAAAUGAUGUUUGAUAAGAUGGAUUCGUUCGUGAAAGAAAAAAAAUGCAAUGGUGGGAAAUGAAUAGAAAUGGCCGGUAUGUUUUAGUCUUUCCCCUAAUGAGGUGCCGACAUCUGUGUUAGUUCCUAGGAGUGAUGUUACAACAUCCCUUAGUAAGAGCAUCCGAGAUAGCCAAAGAUCCGAAGGAGAAGCAAGAACAAAGGUGGUAGCACAUUAGAAUAAUAAGAAUUCAAAUAAAAUCCAGCUUAAAGCGCUCAAGGAACCCUAUUUCAUUUCGAGAUCCCUACCCCACAGAUUGAGACCGAGUUCCAGUUCCAUUUUAAUAAUUUUUUUCUAAACCAGCAUCAGUGACUAUCUAAGCACCACCAUAAAAUUACGGAACAAACUGUAGUUUGCGGCAG